rnacentral:rRNA from 1 species
GAUGAACGCUGGCGGCGUGCCUAAUACAUGCAAGUCGAGCGAACGGACGAGAAGCUUGCUUCUCUGAUGUUAGCGGCGAACAGGUGAUUAACACGUGGAUAACCUACCUAUAAGACUGGGAUAACUUCGGGACACCGGAGCUAAUACCGGCUAAUAUUUUGAACCGCAUGGUUCAAAAGUGAAAGACGGUCUUGCUGUCACUUAUAGAUGGAUCCGCGCUGCAUUAGCUAGUUGGUAAGGUAACGGCUUACCAAGGCAACGAUGCAUAGCCGACCUGAGAGGGUGAUCGGCCACCCUGGAAGUGAGACGCGGACCAGAGGACUACGGGAGGGAGCAGUAGGCUAUCGGACGCAGUGGGCGAAAGCCUUACGGAGCAACGCCGCGCGAGUCAUGGAGGUGCUGCGAGCGGGAUACUCGGCUACUAGUGAAGAACAUAUGUGUAAGGAACUGAGCCGAACGUGACGGUACCUGAUCAGAAAGCCACGGCUAACUACGUG